rnacentral:rRNA from 1 species
GAUGAACGCUGGCGGCGUGCUUAACACAUGCAAGUCGAACGGUGAAAGAGAGCUUGCUCUCUGGAUCAGUGGCGAACGGGUGAGUAACACGUGAGCAAUCUGCCCCUGACUCUGGGAUAAGCGCUGGAAACGGCGUCUAAUACCGGAUACGAGCUGCGAAGGCAUCUUCAGCAGCUGGAAAGAACUUCGGUCAGGGAUGAGCUCGCGGCCUAUCAGCUAGUUGGUGAGGUAACGGCUCACCAAGGCGUCGACGGGUAGCCGGCCUGAGAGGGUGACCGGCCACACUGGGACUGAGAAACGGCCCAGACUCCUACGGGAGGCAGCAGUGGGGAAUAUUGCACAAUGGGCGAAAGCCUGAUGCAGCAACGCCGCGUGAGGGACGACGGCCUUCGGGUUGUAAACCUCUUUUAGCAGGGAAGAAGCGAAAGUGACGGUACCUGCAGAAAAAGCGCCGGCUAACUACGUG